rnacentral:rRNA from 1 species
UACGGAGGGACUAGCGUUGUUCGGAAUUACUGGGCGUAAAGCGCACGUAGGCGGAUUUGUAAGUCAGGGGUGAAAUCCCGGGGCCCAACCCCGGAACUGCCUUUGAUACUGCAAAUCUCGAGUCCGGGAGAGGUGAGUGGAAUUCCUAGUGUAGAGGUGAAAAUUCGUAGAUAUUAGGAAGAACACCAGUGGCGAAGGCGGCUCACUGGUCCGGUACUGGACGCUGAGGUGCGAAAGCGUGGGGAGCAAACAGGG